GUUCCUUCGGGAGCGAGUAAACUGGCGAACGGGUGAGUAACGCGUAGGUAACCUACCCUUAAGCUCGGGAUAACCCACCGAAAGGUGAGCUAAUACCGGAUAAUAUCUUUCCUCAUAAGGGGUAAAGAUUAAAGGUGGCUUCGGCUAUCACUUAUGGAUGGGCCUGCGUCUGAUUAGCUAGUUGGCAGGGUAAUGGCCUACCAAAGCAAUGAUCAGUAGCUGGUCUGAGAGGGCGAUCAGCCACAUUGGGACUGAGAUACGGCCCAGACUCCUACGGGAGGCAGCAGUGGGGAAUUUUGCGCAAUGAGCGAAAGCUUGACGCAGCAACGCCGCGUGAUCGAAGAAGCUCUGCGGAGUGUAAAGAUCUGUCAUAGGGGAAGAUAAGUCCCGUUAUUAACACCAUCGGGAUGUGACGGUACCCUAUAAGAAAGCCCCGGCUAACUUCGUGCCAGCAGCCGCGGUAAUACGAGGGGGGCAAGCGUUGUCCGGAUUUAUUGGGCGUAAAGAGUUCGUAGGCUGGUUG
rnacentral:rRNA from 1 species